rnacentral:rRNA from 1 species
AGCGAACGCUGGCGGCAGGCUUAACACAUGCAAGUCGAGCGGGCACUUCGGUGUCAGCGGCAGACGGGUGAGUAACACGUGGGAACGUGCCCUUCGGUUCGGAAUAACCCAGGGAACUUGAGCUAAUACCGGAUACGCCCUUUUGGGGAAAGGUUUACUGCCGAAGGAUCGGCCCGCGGUCUGAUUAGCUAGUUGGUGGGGUAAUGGCCUACCAAGGCGACGACCAGUAGCUGGGUCUGAGAGGANGAUCAGCCACACUGGGACUGAGACACGGCCCAGACUCCUACGGGAGGCAGCAGUGGGAAUAUUGGACAAUGGGCGCGAAGCCUGAUCCAGCCAUGCCGCGUGAGUGAUGAAGGCCUUAGGGUUGUAAAGCUCUUUCGACGGGG